GCAGUGUAAGUAAAAGUUGAGGCGGCACGAAGUUUCAGUUCAUGUACUGGUCUGCGCAGCUUCAGAGCUCUCUAGAUCUUUCCAUUUCAUCUGCUCACAGCUCUUUAUGUUCCUCAUCGUCUCUUGAUCGGGACUUCGAUCCCCUCUUAGCGAAUAUUUGCCAAAUCCAGACGCUUUGCGAUGGGAUCUUUUCUCUGGAAGUCUGAGCGAAAUCAAACACGUCCUCACAGUGUGCAACUGAGCAGUUCUUAAGCUAGCUCUCACGGCGUUGCGACAUAAAUAAUUGAAUCUUUACCGAGUAUAUUUUCGUUUCUCUAUACGGAGGUUUGACUUGGCUGAAACUGUGCAGUCGGCAGUUUAAUAUUUAUGACAAAAUCUGAAUUCACGCGCCUGUUUUUGGAUUACCCGUUUCCCAGGAUACCGAACACUGAAUCGAUCACGCGUCAACUACAGACUUUAUUUUCGAUUUACUGGACUUAAAGACUACUGAGGGGCUUUGGAAAUGAGCAGUCCAUUUUCAAAAUGUCUUUUUUAAGAAUCACUCGUGGAGAGAGACGUUUCCUCAGAGGACGGGAGGGUUUGUAACGCUGAAUUUAUCCCCGAUUUCACGACACGCGUUUCCAUGGCUCCGGCGGUCAGAUCGAUUAAGCGCAAGGAUGCGAUUAACUGGCCGAGGAUGUCGACAACUUUCUGGGCUGUGCUGCUGUUGACGGCGCUUCUGAUCGUGUACUGCGGUCAACUGGCAGCAGGUACCUGUGAGAUUGUCACUCUAGACAGAGACAGCAGUCAGCCACGCAGGACAAUUGCAAGACAGACGGCCCGCUGUGCAUGUAAGAAAGGACAGAUUGCUGGGACAACGAGAGCCAGGCCGGCCUGCGUGGACGCUCGUAUCGUGAAGACCAAGCAGUGGUGUGACAUGGUGCCCUGUCUAGAGGAUGAAGGCUGUGACCUGUUAGUAAAUAAAUCAGGUUGGACUUGUACACAGCCCAGUGGCAGAGUGAAAACUACAACGUUUACUGAUCAUUAGUCUCGCAUAGCUAGACCUUCAGACUGACGGCAGAAGGUCUGGGAACCUUGGCCGAUUUGAAUGGCCAAGGCCCACUCAAGAGGCCAUAUGACUGACAGGUGUCCUAACAGUGGGAAGGGUUCCUGGAGCGCUACGAGACGAGGCCUCUUGCAGCUUCGCCCGCCUGCUGUAGAUACUUGCUAUGUCUCAUCGGCUUAACACCUGCCUCUGCCUACCUGUCUGUGUCUCAGCUUUGUAAAUGGGCAGCACCCCCUUGUGCCACGGAGAACGUACUGUACGUUCACAAAGCGCCUCACGGAUAGUGGUACAGUAGGAGCCUUGAGGACUUUAAGAACGCAGCACAGGACAAUGAGGCACCUACCCUGUCUGAGACUUAACCAGACACAGGUUUUAUGGGACUCUACCAGCAGUUCUGACCUGAUCCGAGACUGUGAACCUAACUGCUCUGUGAAACAACUUUCUGCUGGAAUAUGUUUUUGGCGCUCAUUUUUUACAGACCAAAGAGGAAACAUAAUAGACAAAAAACAAAACAAAACAAAACAAAACAAAAA